GAUGAAGAACGCAGCGAAAUGCGAUAAGUAAUGCGAAUUGCAGAAUUUCCGUGAACCAUCGAAUCUUUGAACGCACAUUGCGCCCGCUGGAACUCCGGCGGGCACGCCUGUCCGAGCGUCAUUUCAACCCUCAGGCCCCCCUUCGCGGGCGGGCCUGGUGUUGGGGCCCGGCCGCUACCCUGCGGCCGUCCCCUAAAUUCAGUGGCGGCCUCGCCGUGAUCCCUUGCGUAGUAAUGCACCUCGCACCGGAGAGCGCCGUGGCCACGCCGUAAAACCCCCAAUUUUCAAUGGUUGACCUCGGAUCAGGUGGGAAUACCCGCUGAACUUAAGCAUAUCAAUAAGCGGAGGA
rnacentral:misc_RNA from 1 species